GUAGGGAAUCUUCGGCAAUGGACGAAAGUCUGACCGAGCAACGCCGCGUGAGUGAAGAAGGUUUUCGGAUCGUAAAACUCUGUUGGUAGAGAAGAACGUUGGUGAGAGUGGAAAGCUCAUCAAGUGACGGUAACUACCCAGAAAGGGACGGCUAACUACGUGCCAGCAGCCGCGGUAAUACGUAGGUCCCGAGCGUUGUCCGGAUUUAUUGGGCGUAAAGCGAGCGCAGGUGGUUUAUUAAGUCUGGUGUAAAAGGCAGUGGCUCAACCAUUGUAUGCAUUGGAAACUGGUAGACUUGAGUGCAGGGGAGGAGAGUGGAAUUCCAUGUGUAGCAGUGAAAUGCGUAGAUAUAUGGAGGAACACCGGUGGCGAAAGCGGCUCUCUGGCCUGUAACUGACACUGAGGCUCGAAAGCGUGGGGAGCAAACAGGAUUAGAAACCCUGGUAGUCC
rnacentral:rRNA from 1 species